GACGAACGCUGGCGGCGUGCCUAACACAUGCAAGUCGAACGGAGUUUACUUCGGUAAACUUAGUGGCGGACGGGUGAGUAACGCGUGAGCAAUCUACCUUUCAGAGGGGGAUAACGUUCUGAAAAGAACGCUAAUACCGCAUGACAUAUUUAAGUCACAUGACUUUAAUAUCAAAGGAGCAAUCCGCUGAAAGAUGAGCUCGCGUCCGAUUAGAUAGUUGGUGAGGUAACGGCCCACCAAGUCGACGAUCGGUAGCCGGACUGAGAGGUUGAACGGCCACAUUGGGACUGAGACACGGCCCAG
rnacentral:rRNA from 1 species